UACGGAGGGUGCAAGCGUUAUCCGGAAUCACUGGGUUUAAAGGGUGCGUAGGCGGCUAAAUAAGUCAGAGGUGAACGUUUGUCGCUUAACGAUAGAACUGCCUUUGAUACUGUUAAGCUUGAAAGUAGGUGAGGUUGGCGGAAUGUGGCAUGUAGCGGUGAAAUGCAUAGAUAUGUCAUAGUACACCGAUUGCGAAGGCAGCCGGCUAUCCUGACUUUGACGCUGAGGUACGAAAGCGUGGGUAGCUAGCAGG
rnacentral:rRNA from 1 species